GAUGAACGCUGGCGGCGUGCCUAAUACAUGCAAGUCGAGCGAACAGACGAGGAGCUUGCUCCUCUGACGUUAGCGGCGGACGGGUGAGUAACACGUGGAUAACCUACCUAUAAGACUGGGAUAACUUCGGGAAACCGGAGCUAAUACCGGAUAAUAUAUUGAACCGCAUGGUUCAAUAGUGAAAGACGGUUUUGCUGUCACUUAUAGAUGGAUCCGCGCCGCAUUAGCUAGUUGGUAAGGUAACGGCUUACCAAGGCAACGAUGCGUAGCCGACCUGAGAGGGUGAUCGGCCACACGGGAACGGAGACACGGUCCAGACUCCUACGGGAGGCAGCAGUAGGGAAUCUUCCGCAAUGGGCGAAAGCUUGACGGAGCAACGCCGCGUGAGUGAUGAAGGUCUUCGGAUCGUAAAACUCUGUUAUUAGGGAAGAACAAAUGUGUAAGUAACUAUGCACGUCUUGACGGUACCUAAGCAGAAAGCCACGGCUAACUACGU
rnacentral:rRNA from 1 species